ACUCAAAUGAAUUGACGGGGGCCCGCACAAGCGGUGGAUGAUGUGGAUUAAUUCGAUGCAACGCGAAGAACCUUACCUAGCCUUGACAUGCUCCGAACCCUGCUGAAAGGUGGGGGUGCCCGAAAGGGAGCGGAGACACAGGUGCUGCAUGGCUGUCGUCAGCUCGUGUCGUGAGAUGUUGGGUUAAGUCCCGCAACGAGCGCAACCCUUGUCGUUAGUUGCCAUCAUUGAGUUGGGCACUUUAACGAGACUGCCGGUGACAAACCGGAGGAAGGUGGGGAUGACGUCAAGUCCUCAUGGCCCUUAUGGCUAGGGCUUCACACGUCAUACAAUGGUCGGUACAGAGGGUUGCCAAGCCGCGAGGCGGAGCUAAUCUCGAAAAGCCGAUCGUAGUCCGGAUUGCAGUCUGCAACUCGACUGCAUGAAGUCGGAAUCGCUAGUAAUCGCAGGUCAGCAUACUGCGGUGAAUACGUUCCCGGGCCUUGUACACACCGCCCGU
rnacentral:rRNA from 1 species